rnacentral:rRNA from 1 species
UACGUAGGUGGCAAGCGUUGUCCGGAUUUACUGGGCGUAAAGCGUAUGCAGGCGGAAGGUUAAGUAGGAAGUGAAAGGGUGGAGCUCAACUCCGCCACUGCUCCCUAUACUGGCCUUCUUGAGUGCCGGAGAGGAAGAUGGAACUCCACGUGUAGCGGUGAAAUGCGUUGAGAUGUGGAGGAACACCAAUGGCGAAAGCAAUCUUCUGGACGGAAACUGACGCUGAGAUACGAAAGCCAAGGGAGCGAACAGG